rnacentral:rRNA from 1 species
AGAGUUUGAUCAUGGCUCAGAUUGAACGCUGGCGGCAGGCUUAACACAUGCAAGUCGAGCGGAGAUGAGGUGCUUGCACCUUAUCUUAGCGGCGGACGGGUGAGUAAUGCUUAGGAAUCUGCCUAUUAGUGGGGGACAACAUUCCGAAAGGAAUGCUAAUACCGCAUACGUCCUACGGGAGAAAGCAGGGGAUCUUCGGACCUUGCGCUAAUAGAUGAGCCUAAGUCGGAUUAGCUAGUUGGUGGGGUAAAGGCUUACCAAGGCGACGAUCUGUAGCGGGUCUGAGAGGAUGAUCCGCCACACUGGGACUGAGACACGGCCCAGACUCCUACGGGAGGCAGCAGUGGGGAAUAUUGGACAAUGGGGGGAACCCUGAUCCAGCCAUGCCGCGUGUGUGAAGAAGGCCUUAUGGUUGUAAAGCACUUUAAGCGAGGAGGAGGCUACUGAGACUAAUACUCUUGGAUAGUGGACGUUACUCGCAGAAUAAGCACCGGCUAACUCUGUGCCAGCAGCCGCGGUAAUACAGAGGGUGCGAGCGUUAAUCGGAUUUACUGGGCGUAAAGCGUGCGUAGGCGGCUUUUUAAGUCGGAUGUGAAAUCCCCGAGCUUAACUUGGGAAUUGCAUUCGAUACUGGGAAGCUAGAGUAUGGGAGCGGAUGGUAGAAUUCCAGGUGUAGCGGUGAAAUGCGUAGAGAUCUGGAG